UACGUGGGGUGCAAGCGUUAAUCGGAAUUACUGGGCGUAAAGCGUGCGCAGGCGGUUUCGUAAGUCUGAUGUGAAAUCCCCCGGGCUUAACCUGGGAAUUGCAUUGGAGACUGCGAGGCUAGAAUCUGGCAGAGGGGGGGUAGAAUUCCACGUGUAGCAGUGAAAUGCGUAGAGAUGUGGAGGAACACCGAUGGCGAAGGCGGCCUCUGGACCAAUACUGACGCUCAUGCACGAAAGCGUGGGGAGCAAACAGG
rnacentral:rRNA from 1 species